rnacentral:rRNA from 1 species
UGCCAGCAGCCGCGGUAAUACGGAGGGGGUUAGCGUUGUUCGGAAUUACUGGGCGUAAAGCGCACGUAGGCGGACUAUUAAGUCAGGGGUGAAAUCCCGGGGCUCAACCCCGGAACUGCCUUUGAUACUGGUAGUCUAGAGUUCGAGAGAGGUGAGUGGAAUUCCGAGUGUAGAGGUGAAAUUCGUAGAUAUUCGGAGGAACACCAGUGGCGAAGGCGGCUCACUGGCUCGAUACUGACGCUGAUGGACGAAAGCGUGGGGAGCGAACGGGAUUAGAUA